rnacentral:rRNA from 1 species
GAUGAACGCUGGCGGCGUGCCUAAUACAUGCAAGUCGAGCGAACAGACGAGGAGCUUGCUCCUCUGACGUUAGCGGCGGACGGGUGAGUAACACGUGGAUAACCUACCUAUAAGACUGGGAUAACUUCGGGAAACCGGCGCUAAUACCGGAUAAUAUAUUGAACCGCAUGGUUCAAUAGUGAAAGACGGUGUUGCUGUCACUUAUAGCUGGAUCCGCGCCGCAUUAGCUAGUUGUUAAGGUAAAGGCUUACCAAGGCGACGAUGCGUAGCCGACCUGAGAGGGUGAUCGGCCACACUGGAGCUGAGACAGGGUCCAGACUCCUACGGGAGGCAGCAGUAGGGAAUCUGCCGCAGUGGGCGAGAGCCUGACGGAGCGACGCCACGUGAGUGGUAGAGGUCUUCGGAUCGUAAAACUCUGUUAUUAGGGGAGAACAAAUGUGUAAGUAACUGUGCACGUCUUGACGGUACCUAAUCAGAAAGCCCCGGCUAACUACGUG